rnacentral:lncRNA from 1 species
CUCCCUUGAUGAUCUUCUGAGGUAUAGAUGGAGGUAUUUGGGGCAUCUGGAAAGAUCCAUGGCACAAUGGGCUCGAACACGCCGAAUCAGCCCGCUGCAGACAGGCAGGUCUGCCCACGCCUUACCGAGGACCCCAGUCAUCACGCGGAAUACGCCGAAUCAGCCCACUGCACACAGGAAGAUCUGUGCACACCCUACCGAGGUCCUGAGUCUUGAGGAAGACACUGAAUCACCCCGCUGCAGACAGACAGCCACCUGGUUCCGCACUACAAAGACGCAGGGGAACCAGACCACCAGACCAAGGUACUGAGUCCCACUUCACUGUUCCCGGCCCAGAGGUAGGGGCUUCUGAGCCGUUGUC